rnacentral:rRNA from 1 species
UUUACCUGAAGGCGGUGGGUUAACCCGCAAGGGAGACAGCCGGCCACGGUAAGGUCAGCGACUGGGGUGAAGUCGUAACAAGGUAGCCGUAGGUGAACCUGCAGAAGGAUCA